rnacentral:rRNA from 1 species
CAGCACCUCAAGUGGUCAGGAUGAUUAUUGGGCCUAAAGCAUCCGUAGCCGGCGCUGUAAGUUUUCGGUUAAAUCUGUACGCUCAACGUACAGGCUGCCGGGAAUACCGCAGCGCUAGGGAGUGGGAGAGGUAGACGGUACUCGGUAGGAAGGGGUAAAAUCCUUUGAUCUAUUGAUGACCACCUGUGGCGAAGGCGGUCUACCAGAACACGUCCGACGGCGAGGGAUGAAAGCUGGGGGAGCAAACCGGAUUAGAUACCCGAGUAGUCC